GAUGAAGAACGUAGCGAAAUGCGAUAAGUAAUGUGAAUUGCAGAAUUCAGUGAAUCAUCGAAUCUUUGAACGCACAUUGCGCCCUGCGGUACUCCGCAGGGCAUGCCUGUUCGAGCGUCAUUUGAAAACCUCAAGCCCUGCUUGGUGUUGGGCGCCUGUCCCCGCUCCCCGCGCGGACUCGCCUCGAAGGUAUUGGCAGCGGUCCCGCCGGCUCCCUCCCGAGCGCAGCAGUGCGCGCAAGGCGGAGGGCCGCGGCCCGCGUCCACGAAGACGACUCCCCCGAGUUUGACCUCGGAUCAGGCAGGGAUACCCGCUGAACUUAAGCAUAUCAAUAAGCGGAGGA
rnacentral:misc_RNA from 1 species